AGAAACUCCCGACCCGCCCCCAACCUAAUCCCGCCUCCUACCGCCGGAGGCAGCCGUCGUGGGCGAGCGAGUGACGGCAGCAGCCGGAGCGAGGGAGCCCACGGCGCCGUGACGGGUCGCUGCUCCGACCCACGCGCUGCCGUCGGCCGGCCGUCUGCCCGCUCCCCGCCUCCAACCUUCGGCGCCGCGCUGCACCCCCCCCACCUUCCACAUCCGGCGACCCACCGCGCCCCCCACCCAACUCCCUCCCCAGUGACGCACCGCUGCCCGGCUCCCUCCCCGGCGACGCGCCUCCAGACUCCUUUCCCUACUAAUGUACGAUGCAUGACCCGAGCGCCUGACUGCCGCAUAUGAGGUUGCGCACCGCCGCCGGCCCAACCGUCCCCGUCAGGAUCCCCCGCCUCCCACUGUGGCUCCUCACCGCCACCAUGGGAUCCUAGCCGGCAGGCUCCGUCGAGCGCCCCGUGCCCGGCCGCCUCGCUUCCAUCACCGGUCGUCGCCCCUCCAUCAUGCCUCCUCCCACAAACCCAAUCCAGAUCCAGCGACCUCCACCAGGAUGCACGUCGGUCUCGCCGUGGUCACAUCGGCAGUUCAACUGGUCCCUCCAUGGCCGGUCACUCAAAGUGCUACGUAUAAGGUCACCCCAUGCUCUACCCUUGGGCCUGGCUCAGCUUUCUCCCUCCCAUCCUAUAUCUCAUCUACCUACUUGUCCUGCUCUGUUUCCCUCUCCUGAACUGUGGAUCAUGCAUCAACUCUCUCGCUAUGUGGUGUUCUUGCUCCCUCUCUCGUAGCUACAACAUGGUCACACACUAGCUAAAUGGAUCCAAAAAAUGAUUAUGGAUAAUUGUUGUUCUGAUCUCUAGUUUCUAUGAACUGAUGGGUAAGAUUCUCUCUCUCAUGCUCUCUCUCUCUCUCCUCAUCCUUUGUAGUUUGUGUGAAGUGAUAGUUUAGACUCGAUGAAAUCCGUUGUUUGUAGUUUGUGUGUACUGAUAGUUGAGACUAUGAAUUCCAUGCUUUGUAGUUUGUAUGAACUGAUAGUUAAGACUCGAUGAACUCCAUGCUUUGUAGUUUGUGUGAACUGAUAGUUGAGACCUUGAAGAGUUGUCCAUCUCGACUCGGUGAACUCAUAGCUGAUAGUUUUGUGAAGUGAAAAUUCCUUUUCAAGUUCUUGUGGUAUUUGAUACUUUGUGAGCUGAUAGCUGAUACUUUGAGAUGGAUGUAUUAUCAGGCAUGAAAAUGAUGUCAAAUAUGUGCAGUUUAAUGGAUGAGUCUUAUCUAGAUCCUUUUAAUCUGAAGGUAGUUGCACCACUAAGGAAAGUAAAAAACCAGUAUUUUCUAUAGACAAGAAAUGGGCAUUUGGAUCAGUAAUCGUCCAUUACUAGAGGUGUUUGUCACUUGACCAUUUUCCAUAACUAGUUUCAAUUCAUGGACUACCGGCACUUGCAAAAUCAAAGAGGCUGACCAUAUCAAAGUGCCCAAAGUUGAAGCAAAGGAGAUGAGAUGCUACAAAAAAGGUUUCCUUUUUCAUCCGUCCCUCUGAUUGUUUUGGAAAACAGAGAUGGGAGCAACCUGCAAUUUGUGCUGCAUGUUCACUAAAAAAGUUUGGAUCCUGACCAGAUUAUUCUCAAGAAAAUUCUUUUGAUGUGGAUAGAGAAAAAGAAAAUGAAGAGAAUGAUUACCGUCUCAUUUGCCUCGAUUUACUAUAAAGAACACAUGUGACAGUAAGUCCAGGUAUUACUACACGUGGAGUAUGAAAAAUACUUUUACUGAGAGUUCACUUAAAUCCUGCAUGGCUACUAGCCAUUGGAACUCUUUUGAUUUUUCUAUAGAUCUUGCUCUGGCGGCGUGUUCGGGUAUUUUGGACUUCAGAUUUGGAGUACCACUUAUCUGUCGCAACCUUUCAUCAUUCACUUAAAACAUUCGAUUGAUCAUACAUUGAGUACCAUAUAACUGGAAUAACCGAUGCAAGUCGAAGUAGGA